rnacentral:snRNA from 1 species
AUGCUCUCUUUGGCAGCACCUCCACUAAAACUGGAACCAUGCAGAGGUUAGCAUGCUCCCCGCAGAAGGAUGAUAGCACAUUUGUGAAGCGUUUUAUGCAAUU